UACAGAGGUGGCAAGCGUUGUUCGGAAUUACUGGGCGUAAAGGGCGCGUAGGCGGUUCGUUAAGUCCUGUGUGAAAUCCCUCGGCUCAACCGGGGAACUGCGUCCGAUACUGGCGGGCUUGAAUUCGGGAGAGGGAUGUGGAAUUCCAGGUGUAGCGGUGAAAUGCGUAGAUAUCUGGAGGAACACCGGUGGCGAAGGCGGCAUCCUGGACCGACAUUGACGCUGAGGCGCGAAAGCCAGGGGAGCAAACAGG
rnacentral:rRNA from 1 species